GGGUUGUGAGGUUAAGCGACUAAGCGUACACGGUGGAUGCCCUGGCAGUCAGAGGCGAUGAAGGACGUGCUAAUCUGCGAUAAGCGUCGGUAAGGUGAUAUGAACCGUUAUAACCGGCGAUUUCCGAAUGGGGAAACCCAGUGUGUUUCGACACACUAUCAUUAACUGAAUCCAUAGGUUAAUGAGGCGAACCGGGGGAACUGAAACAUCUAAGUACCCCGAGGAAAAGAAAUCAACCGAGAUUCCCCCAGUAGCGGCGAGCGAACGGCGAG
rnacentral:rRNA from 1 species